AAGGGGAUAGCUCAGUGGUAGAGCGCAUGCUUAGCGUGCACGAGGUCCUAGGUUCCAUCCCCAGUGUCUUCA
rnacentral:tRNA from 1 species